AUGAACGCUGGCGGCGUGCCUAAUACAUGCAAGUCGAGCGAACAGAUGAGGAGCUUGCUCCUCUGACGUUAGCGGCGGACGGGCGAGUAACACGUGGAUAACCUACCUAUAAGACUGGGAUAACUUCGGGAAACCGGAGCUAAUACCGGAUAAUAUAUUGAACCGCAUGGUUCAAUAGUGAAAGACGGUUUUGCUGUCACUUAUAGAUGGAUCCGCGCCGCAUUAGCUAGUUGGUAAGGUAACGGCUUACCAAGGCAACGAUGCGUAGCCGACCUGAGAGGGUGAUCGGCCACACUGGAACUGAGACACGGUCCAGACUCCUACGGGAGGCAGCAGUAGGGAAUCUUCCGCAAUGGGCGAAAGCCUGACGGAGCAACGCCGCGUGAGUGAUGAAGGUCUUCGGAUCGUAAAACUCUGUUAUAGGGAAGAACAAAUGUGUAAGUAACUAUGCACGUCUUGACGGUACCUAAUCAGAAAGCCACGGCUAACUACGUG
rnacentral:rRNA from 1 species